rnacentral:rRNA from 1 species
GAGUUUGAUCCUGGCUCAGAUUGAACGCUGGCGGCAUGCCUUACACAUGCAAGUCGAACGGCAGCACGGGAGCUUGCUCCUGGUGGCGAGUGGCGAACGGGUGAGUAAUGCAUCGGAACGUAUCCUGGAGUGGGGGAUAACGUAGCGAAAGUUACGCUAAUACCGCAUAUUCUGUGAGCAGGAAGCGGGGGACCUUCGGGCCUCGCGCUCUUGGAGCGGCCGAUGUCGGAUUAGCUAGUUGGUGAGGUAAAGGCUCACCAAGGCGACGAUCCGUAGCAGGUCUGAGAGGAUGAUCUGCCACACUGGAACUGAGACACGGUCCAGACUCCUACGGGAGGCAGCAGUGGGAUUUUGGACAAGUGGGGCAACCCUGAUCCAGCCAUCGCCGCGUGAGUGAAGAAGG